rnacentral:lncRNA from 1 species
CAAAAAAAAAAACAGUUAGGAGGUGGAAAACUGGAGCUGUGCUCUGGUGACUGGUGUCUGCAACAGGCUAAUGCUCAUCGGUGCCAUCUCUAAAUCCCAGCAGGUGGAUAUGCACAAUUGCAGCACCUUCCAGUAGACAGCUGGCACCUCUGUUAAAUAUUUUGUGGCAAUACGUGAAUGCAGAGAUGACCACAGGAAUGCACUACGCAUGCUGUGCUGAGGUCUGAUUUAACUGUCUGAAGCCAAGAGAAGCUCCACAGAGACUGCUGAGGACACGCGCUGCAUAAAGCAGCUUUUGACUACUCCAUGACUCAGAGGAAAACCCAGGACACUCGUUAUAAAAUGUGAAAGUAAGAGGAAGACCUGUCUGUCUGCACACAUACCAUGCCAUAGUCCAUGUUUCAUUUGAAGUUUCAUGAGUGAGAUUAUGGACAGCCUUACAGCGACAACAUCUAGUGAUACAGUCUGUGUAAUUAUUUCACAGGGGCCAGAAACUCCUCCACCAUCCAAAAUAAGCCUCUGUCUCGUUCAGCCUGCUGGCUGAAAGGACAAGUAUCCAGCUGCUUGCACUAAGAUCACAGGAAAAUAUCUGAGGAGAUGAGAUCUGGUUGAUUUUCCUCCAGACUUCAGCAAGGUGAGUGAGACACCUGAUCUAGGCCCUCACUGUUAUUUCUCU